CACAGAGUAGGGCUUUGCGCGUUAAGUGUCCGGUGGACGGGGAGUUGUCAUCGGAACGAAAAGCAGGAUUUCUGCUUGCGGUGCAGGACUCGCAUCCCGCUGUU
rfam:Firmicutes bacterium CAG:102 genomic scaffold, scf124